rnacentral:misc_RNA from 1 species
AUGCGAUACGUAAUGUGAAUUGCAGAAUUCAGUGAAUCAUCGAAUCUUUGAACGCAUAUUGCGCCUUCUGGUAUUCCGGAAGGCAUGCUUGUUUGAGUAUCAGUAACAACCUCAGCUCUCAAUUUCUCUCUGGAGGAAAAGCGAGUUGGAUUUGAGCAUUUCCUACCCUCUUUUAUCGAAGGGAGGGGCGGAUCGCUUGAAAUUGAGGUUCGGCCGGACGGUUAAUUCCCUGGGCUACAAGCAUUUCAUACUUAAUCCCGUUAAACGGAUUAUUUCCUUUGCUGCAGCCAACUAAACAGGUAAUCGUCAGUGUCUGACUGAUGCAGGAAAAGUGGAGGAAGGGAGGGGGAAGGAAAGGAUUUCGGUCCGCUCCGCUCCCCCACCCGGCACUCUCUUUUAAACUCGAUCUCAAAUCAAGUAAGACUACCCGCUGAACUUAA